AUUUAACUAAUGAAUCCCAAAUAGGACGAAAUGAGCGUCCUAGAU
rfam:Schistosoma rodhaini strain Burundi genome assembly, scaffold: SROB_scaffold0009123